GCGCGCCCCUGCACUCUCCAAGGACUGUCCCUCGGCCGCCCCCAGAAACUGCACCCCGGGAGUCCCCAAGACCCGAGCUCCGGGCACCCCCAGGAACCGCGCCCCGGGAGCUCCUCCCCAAGAAACUGCGCCCCGGGGGGCUCCAGGAAACAGUGCCCCGGGGUCCCCCAGGACUGUGCCCAGGGACCCCCCCCUCAAGAACCAGGCCCCGGGCUCCCCCAGAAACCGUGCCCCGGUAUUCCCCCCAAACCGUGCCUCGGGCUCCCCCAGAAACUGGGCCCCGGAUUCGCCGAGAACCGUGCCCCGGGCUCCUCCAGAAACUGUGCCCCCGGGGGGGGGCUCCAAGAAACAGUGCCCCGGGCUCCCCCAGAAACUGGGUCCCGGGAUUCCCCCAAAACCGUGCCUCGGGCUACUCCAGAAACUGCACCCCGGGGGGGGGGGUGGCUCCAAGAAACAGCGCCCCGGCCUCCCCCAGAAACUGGGCCCCGGGAUUCCCUAAGAAGCAGUGCCCCGGGUUCCCCCAUAAAUCGGGCCCCGGGAUGCCCCCCAAACUGUGGCCCGAGCUCCUCCAGCAACUGCGCCCCGGGGGGUUCCAGAAUCUGCGCCCCGGGGGUGCCCAGAGACUCUGCCCCGGGAUUCCCCAAGAACCAUGCCCCGGGCUCCUCCAGAAACUGUGCCCCGGGAUUGCCCCCAAACGGUGCCCCGAGCUCCUCCAGAAACUGUGCCCCGGGGGGCUCCGAGAACCGAUCCUCGGGAGCCCCCCUAAACCGGGCUGCUUCUCCCUCGGGUCUGCCGUCCGUCCAUCCGUCCGUCCGUCCGUCCAUCCGUCCGUCCAUCCCGGUGGCUCCGGAUUGCCAAUUGCCGCAGCUGAAGUUUGGCGAGCAGAAAGCGGUGUCCGCGGCCUCUCGGCCCCUUCCUGCCGGGGGACAAGGCAGGAGAGCGGUCAGGGCCCGAAUUCCCGGGACAGAGGGCUUCCCUCCCUCUCCCGAGCGCUCAGCGCAGCGCCGUGCGCACAGUGAGCGCUCAGUACGUAGCCCGGGGGCUGGGGAGGGGAGGCCGCGCCCUUAG
rnacentral:lncRNA from 1 species